AUUGAACGCUGGCGGCAUGCUUAACGCAUGCAAGUCGAACGGUAACGCGGGGGCAACCCUGGCGACGAGUGGCGGACGGGUGAGGAAUGCUUGGGAAUCUGCCUGUUAGUGGGGGACAACCCGGGGAAACCCGGGCUAAUACCGCAUACGCUCUACGGAGGAAAGCGGGGGACCGCAAGGCCUCGCGCUAACAGAUGAGCCCAAGUCGGAUUAGCUAGUUGGUGGGGUAAAGGCCUACCAAGGCAACGAUCCGUAGCUGGUCUGAGAGGACGAUCAGCCACACUGGGACUGAGACACGGCCCAGACUCCUACGGGAGGCAGCAGUGGGGAAUAUUGGACAAUGGGGGAAACCCUGAUCCAGCAAUGCCGCGUGUGUGAAGAAGGCCUGCGGGUUGUAAAGCACUUUUGGCAGGGAAGAAAAGCACUGGCCGAAUACGCCAGUGUGUUGACGUAACCUGCAGAAGAAGCACCGGCUAACUCUGUGCCAGCAGCCGCGGUAAGGUGACG
rnacentral:rRNA from 1 species